UACGUAGGGUGCAAGCGUUAAUCGGAAUUACUGGGCGUAAAGCGUGCGCAGGCGGCUUUGCAAGACAGAUGUGAAAUCCCCGGGCUCAACCUGGGAACUGCAUUUGUGACUGCAAGGCUAGAGUACGGUAGAGGGGGAUGGAAUUCCGCGUGUAGCAGUGAAAUGCGUAGAUAUGCGGAGGAACACCGAUGGCGAGGGCAAUCCCCUGGACCUGUACUGACGCUCAUGCACGAAAGCGUGGGGAGCAAACAGG
rnacentral:rRNA from 1 species